UAACGCGAAGAACCUUACCAGGUCUUGACAUCUUCUGAUAGCCUAAGAGAUUAGGUGUUCCCUUCGGGGACAGAAUGACAGGUGGUGCAUGGUUGUCGUCAGCUCGUGUCGUGAGAUGUUGGGUUAAGUCCCGCAACGAGCGCAACCCUUAUUGUCAGUUGCCAGCAUUAAGUUGGGCACUCUGGCAAGACUGCCGGUGACAAACCGGAGGAAGGUGGGGAUGACGUCAAAUCAUCAUGCCCCUUAUGACCUGGGCUACACACGUGCUACAAUGGACGAUACAACGAGUCGCUAGACCGCGAGGUUAAGCUAAUCUCUGAAAGUCGUUCUCAGUUCGGAUCGCAGGCUGCAACUCGCCUGCAUGAAGUCGGAAUCGCUAGUAAUCGCGGAUCAGC
rnacentral:rRNA from 1 species